rnacentral:rRNA from 1 species
CCUACGGGUGGCAGCAGUGAGGAAUAUUGGUCAAUGGACGAGAGUCUGAACCAGCCAAGUAGCGUGAAGGAUGACUGCCCUAUGGGUUGUAAACUUCUUUUAUAAAGGAAUAAAACGAGGCACGUGUGCCUUUUUGCAUGUACUUUAUGAAUAAGGAUCGGCUAACUCCGUGCCAGCAGCCGCGGUAAUACGGAGGAUCCGAGCGUUAUCCGGAUUUAUUGGGUUUAAAGGGAGCGUAGAUGGGUUGUUAAGUCAGUUGUGAAAGUUUGCGGCUCAACCGUAAAAUUGCAAUUGAUACUGGCAGUCGUGAGUACAGUUGAGGUAGGCGGAAUUCGUGGUGUAGCGGUGAAAUGCUUAGAUAUCACGAAGAACCCCGAUUGCGAAGGCAGCUUACUAAACUGUGACUGACAUUGAUGCUCGAAAGUGUGGGUAUCAAACAGGAUUAGAUACUCUUGUAGUC